UACGGAGGGGGCUAGCGUUGUUCGGAAUUACUGGGCGUAAAGCGCGCGUAGGCGGCUUUGUAAGUUAGAGGUGAAAGCCCGGAGCUCAACUCCGGAAUUGCCUUUAAGACUGCAUCGCUAGAAUCAUGGAGAGGUUAGUGGAAUUCCGAGUGUAGAGGUGAAAUUCGUAGAUAUUCGGAAGAACACCAGUGGCGAAGGCGACUUACUGGACGAUUGUUGACGCUGAGGUGCGAAAGCGUGGGGAGCAAACAGG
rnacentral:rRNA from 1 species